rnacentral:rRNA from 1 species
GAUGAACGCUAGCGGCAGGCCUAACACAUGCAAGUCGAGGGGCAGCAUUUCCAGCUUGCUGGGAGAUGGCGACCGGCGCACGGGUGCGCAACGCGUAUAGAAUCUGCCCCCUACCGGGGAAUAGCCCAGGGAAACUUGGAUUAACGCCCCAUGGAACAUUGUUGCGGCAUCGCAACCAUGUUAAAGGUCACGGUAGGGGAUGACUAUGCGUACCAUUAGCUUGAUGGUAAGGUAACGGCUUACCAUGGCGACGAUGGUUAGGGGCCCUGAGAGGGGGAUCCCCCACACUGGUACUGAGACACGGACCAG